AAUCAAACUGGGAAAUAGCUCGUACUCUCCGAAAUGCAUUUAGGUGCAGCCUCUGUUGUUUUGUUCUAGAGGUAGAGCUACUGAUUGGAUGCGAGGGCUUCACCGCCUAUCAAAUCCGGCCAAACUCCGAAUGCUAGAACAUGAAGACAGGGAGUGAGCCAGCGGGUGCUAAGGUCCGUUGACGAAAGAGGGAGAACUCAGACCAUCAGCUAAGGUCCCCAAUUAUAUGCUAAGUUGGAAUAAAAACGGGGUGGGACUGCUUAGACAGCUAGGAUGUUGGCUUGGAAGCAGCCAUUCAUUUAAAGAGUGCGUAACAGCUCACUAGUCGAGCGGUCCUGCAUGGAUAAUACGCGGGCAUAAGCAUAUAACCGAAGCUAUGGGAUUGUAGAUGAUACAAUCGGUAGGAGAGCAUUCCAUUCAGCAUAGAAGCAGUACCGUGAGGUAUUGUGGAGCGGAUGGAAAAGCAAAUGUAGGCAUAAGUAACGAUAAUGCGGGUGAGAACCCCGCACGCCGAAAGAUCAAGGAUUCCCCGGCAAUGUCAAUCAUCCGGGGGUAAGUCGGAUCCUAAGGGUAAGCCGAGUGGCGAUCCCGAUGGUAAACAGGUUAAUAUUCCUGUACUGAUCAUAACUGCGAUGCAGCGACGCAGAGGUGACACUGCUGCGUACUGACGGAAUAGUACGUUGAAACCCGUAUUCUUUGAUACCGGUAGUGAAGCACGCCGGUAGAGAUGAAAGGUGAUAGUACCGCAAUGCUUCGGUUGCGCGGAUAAUGCAGGUAAGCUGACUGCCAAGAAAACCUGCUAAGCUUCAGGUAAUGAUCAUCCGUACUGUAAACGGACACACGUGAUCAGGUAGAAAAUACUAAGGCGCUCGAGAGAUUCAUGGUUAAGGAACUAGGCAAAAUGGUCCUGUAACUUCGGGAUAAAGGACGCUCUUGUGAAAGAGCCGCAGAUAAUAGGCCCAGGCGACUGUUUACCAAAAACACAUGGCUAUGCUAAUUCGCAAGAAGAUGUAUAUGGCCUGACACCUGCCCGGUGCCGGAAGGUUAAGAGGAGAGCUCAGAGGUAACUCGAAGGUUUGAAUUGAAGCCCCGGUAAACGGCGGCCGUAACUAUAACGGUCCUAAGGUAGCGAAAUUCCUUGUCGGGUAAGUUCCGACCUGCACGAAUGGUGUAACGAUCUGGGUACUGUCUCAACCAUGAGCUCGGUGAAAUUGUAGUUCCGGUGAAGAUGCCGGAUACCCGCAACGGGACGGAAAGACCCCGUGAACCUUUACUGCAGCUUUGCAUUGAUUUUGGGUAACAGAUGUGUAGGAUAGGUCGGAGGCUUUGAUGCUGCGUCGUCAGGCGUAGAGUAGCCGUCGUUGAAAUACGACCCUUUUGUUAUCUGAGGUCUAAUCCCGUUAGGGAGACAUUGCAUGGUGGGUAGUUUGACUGGGGUGGUCGCCUCCAAAAGUGUAACGGAGGCUUCUCAAGGUACCCUCAAGGCGUUUGGUAAUCGUCUGCAGAGUGCAAUGGCAUAAGGGUGCUUGACUGUGAGACCGACACGUCGAUCAGGUUGGAAACA
rnacentral:rRNA from 1 species